rnacentral:rRNA from 1 species
UUAAGUGACUAAGCGUACACGGUGGAUGCCCUGGCAGUCAGAGGCGAUGAAGGACGUGCUAAUCUGCGAAAAGCGUCGGUAAGGUGAUAUGAACCGUUAUAACCGGCGAUGUCCGAAUGGGGAAACCCAGUGCAAUUCGUUGCACUAUCGUUAACUGAAUACAUAGGUUAACGAGGCGAACCGGGGGAACUGAAACAUCUAAGUACCCCGAGGAAAAGAAAUCAACCGAGAUUCCCCCAGUAGCGGCGAGCGAACGGGGAGCAGCCCAGAGUCUGAAUCAGCUUGUGUGUUAGUGGAACGGUCUGGAAAGUCCGACGGUACAGGGUGAUAGUCCCGUACACCAAAAUGCACAGGUUGUGAACUCGAAGAGUAGGGCGGGACACGUGGUAUCCUGUCUGAAUAUGGGGGGACCAUCCUCCAAGGCUAAAUACUCCUGACUGACCGAUAGUGAACCAGUACCGUGAGGGAAAGGCGAAAAGAACCCCGGCGAGGGGAGUGAAAAAGAACCUGAAACCGUGUACGUACAAGCAGUGGGAGCACCUUCGGGUGUGACUGCGUACCUUUUGUAUAAUGGGUCAGCGACUUAUAUUCUGUAGCAAGGUUAACCGUAUAGGGGAGCCGCAGGGAAACCGAGUCUUAACUGGGCGUUAAGUUGCAGGGUAUAGACCCGAAACCCGGUGAUCUAGCCAUGGGCAGGUUGAAGGUUGGGUAACACUAACUGGAGGACCGAACCGACUAAUGUUGAAAAAUUAGCGGAUGACUUGUGGCUGGGGGUGAAAGGCCAAUCAAACCGGGAGAUAGCUGGUUCUCCCCGAAAGCUAUUUAGGUAGCGCCUCGUGAAUUCAUCUUCGGGGGUAGAGCACUGUUUCGGCUAGGGGGUCAUCCCGACUUACCAACCCGAUGCAAACUACGAAUACCGAAGAAUGUUAUCACGGGAGACACACGGCGGGUGCUAACGUCCGUCGUGAAGAGGGAAACAACCCAGACCGCCAGCUAAGGUCCCAAAGUCAUGGUUAAGUGGGAAACGAUGUGGGAAGGCACAGACAGCCAGGAUGUUGGCUUAGAAGCAGCCAUCAUUUAAAGAAAGCGUAAUAGCUCACUGGUCGAGUCGGCCUGCGCGGAAGAUGUAACGGGGCUAAACCAUGCACCGAAGCUGCGGCAGCGACACUAUGUGUUGUUGGGUAGGGGAGCGUUCUGUAAGCCUGCGAAGGUGACCUGUGAGGGUUGCUGGAGGUAUCAGAAGUGCGAAUGCUGACAUAAGUAACGAUAAAGCGGGUGAAAAGCCCGCUCGCCGGAAGACCAAGGGUUCCUGUCCAACGUUAAUCGGGGCAGGGUGAGUCGACCCCUAAGGCGAGGCCGAAAGGCGUAGUCGAUGGGAAACAGGUUAAUAUUCCUGUACUUGGUGUUACUGCGAAGGGGGGACGGAGAAGGCUAUGUUAGCCGGGCGACGGUUGUCCCGGUUUAAGCAUGUAGGCUGGUUGUCCAGGCAAAUCCGGAUAAUCAAGGCUGAGGUGUGAUGACGAGGCACUACGGUGCUGAAGUAACAAAUGCCCUGCUUCCAGGAAAAGCCUCUAAGCAUCAGGUAACAUUAAAUCGUACCCCAAACCGACACAGGUGGUCAGGUAGAGAAUACCAAGGCGCUUGAGAGAACUCGGGUGAAGGAACUAGGCAAAAUGGUGCCGUAACUUCGGGAGAAGGCACGCUGGUGUGUAGGUGAAGCCCCUGCGGGUGGAGCUGAGACCAGUCGAAGAUACCAGCUGGCUGCAACUGUUUAUUAAAAACACAGCACUGUGCAAACACGAAAGUGGACGUAUACGGUGUGACGCCUGCCCGGUGCCGGAAGGUUAAUUGAUGGGGUUAUCCGUAAGGAGAAGCUCUUGAUCGAAGCCCCGGUAAACGGCGGCCGUAACUAUAACGGUCCUAAGGUAGCGAAAUUCCUUGUCGGGUAAGUUCCGACCUGCACGAAUGGCGUAAUGAUGGCCAGGCUGUCUCCACCCGAGACUCAGUGAAAUUGAACUCGCUGUGAAGAUGCAGUGUACCCGCGGCAAGACGGAAAGACCCCGUGAACCUUUACUAUAGCUUGACACUGAACAUUGAGCCUUGAUGUGUAGGAUAGGUGGGAGGCUUUGAAGCGUGGACGCCAGUCUGCGUGGAGCCAACCUUGAAAUACCACCCUUUAAUGUUUGAUGUUCUAACGUUGGCCCCUUAUCGGGGUUGCGGACAGUGUCUGGUGGGUAGUUUGACUGGGGCGGUCUCCUCCCAAAGCGUAACGGAGGAGCACGAAGGUUAGCUAAUCCUGGUCGGACAUCAGGAGGUUAGUGCAAUGGCAUAAGCUAGCUUGACUGCGAGCGUGACGGCGCGAGCAGGUGCGAAAGCAGGUCAUAGUGAUCCGGUGGUUCUGAAUGGAAGGGCCAUCGCUCAACGGAUAAAAGGUACUCCGGGGAUAACAGGCUGAUACCGCCCAAGAGUUCAUAUCGACGGCGGUGUUUGGCACCUCGAUGUCGGCUCAUCACAUCCUGGGGCUGAAGUAGGUCCCAAGGGUAUGGCUGUUCGCCAUUUAAAGUGGUACGCGAGCUGGGUUUAGAACGUCGUGAGACAGUUCGGUCCCUAUCUGCCGUGGGCGCUGGAGAAUUGAGGGGGGCUGCUCCUAGUACGAGAGGACCGGAGUGGACGCAUCACUGGUGUUCGGGUUGUCAUGCCAAUGGCACUGCCCGGUAGCUAAAUGCGGAAGAGAUAAGUGCUGAAAGCAUCUAAGCACGAAACUUGCCCCGAGAUGAGUUCUCCCUGAGACUUUAAGUCUCCUGAAGGAACGUUAAAGACGAUGACGUUGAUAGGCCGGGUGUGUAAGCGCAGCGAUGCGUUGAGCUAACCGGUACUAAUGAACCGUGAGGCUUAACCUU